UGGGGAUUUGCCUAAGGCCGCAUCGGAGGACAACUAGAAAUUGAAAGGCCCUUUUUUUCAUUGUUGAACUUUGACCGGAUCUAGGGAUUUUGACCUC
rnacentral:pre_miRNA from 1 species